CGCUGGCGGCGUGCUUAACACAUGCAAGUCGAACGGAAAGGCCCUGCUUUUGUGGGGUGCUCGAGUGGCGAACGGGUGAGUAACACGUGAGUAACCUGCCCUUGACUUUGGGAUAACUUCAGGAAACUGGGGCUAAUACCGGAUAGGAGCUCCUGCUGCAUGGUGGGGGUUGGAAAGUUUCGGCGGUUGGGGAUGGACUCGCGGCUUAUCAGCUUGUUGGUGGGGUAGUGGCUUACCAAGGCUUUGACGGGUAGCCGGCCUGAGAGGGUGACCGGCCACAUUGGGACUGAGAUACGGCCCAGACUCCUACGGGAGGCAGCAGUGGGGAAUAUUGCACAAUGGGCGGAAGCCUGAUGCAGCAACGCCGCGUGCGGGAUGACGGCCUUCGGGUUGUAAACCGCUUUCGCCUGUGACGAAGCGUGAGUGACGGUAAUGGGUAAAGAAGCACCGGCUAACUACGUGCCAGCAGCCGCGGUGAUACGUAGGGUGCGAGCGUUGUCCGGAUUUAUUGGGCGUAAAGGGCUCGUAGGUGGUUGAUCGCGUCGGAAGUGUAAUCUUGGGGCUUAACCCUGAGCGUGCUUUCGAUACGGGUUGACUUGAGGAAGGUAGGGGAGAAUGGAAUUCCUGGUGGAGCGGUGGAAUGCGCAGAUAUCAGGAGGAACACCAGUGGCGAAGGCGGUUCUCUGGGCCUUUCCUGACGCUGAGGAGCGAAAGCGUGGGGAGCGAACAGGCUUAGAUACCCUGGUAGUCCACGCUGUAAACGGUGGGUACUAGGUGUGGGGUCCAUUCCACGGGUUCCGUGCCGUAGCUAACGCUUUAAGUACCCCGCCUGGGGAGUACGGCCGCAAGGCUAAAACUCAAAGGAAUUGACGGGGCCCCGCACAAGCGGCGGAGCAUGCGGAUUAAUUCGAUGCAACGCGUAGAACCUUACCUGGGUUUGACAUGGAUCGGGAGUGCUCAGAGAUGGGUGUGCCUCUUUUGGGGUCGGUUCACAGGUGGUGCAUGGCUGUCGUCAGCUCGUGUCGUGAGAUGUUGGGUUAAGUCCCGCAACGAGCGCAACCCUUGUUCACUGUUGCCAGCACGUUAUGGUGGGGACUCAGUGGAGACCGCCGGGGUCAACUCGGAGGAAGGUGGGGAUGACGUCAAGUCAUCAUGCCCCUUAUGUCCAGGGCUUCACGCAUGCUACAAUGGCUGGUACAGAGAGUGGCGAGCCUGUGAGGGUGAGCGAAUCUCGGAAAGCCGGUCUCAGUUCGGAUUGGGGUCUGCAACUCGACCUCAUGAAGUCGGAGUCGCUAGUAAUCGCAGAUCAGCAACGCUGCGGUGAAUACGUUCCCGGGGCUUGUACACACCGCCCGUCAAGUCAUGAAAGUUGGUAACACCCGAAGCCGGUGGCCUAACCGUUGUGGGGGAGCCGUCGAAGGUGGGACUA
rnacentral:rRNA from 1 species